AGAGUUUGAUCAUGGCUCAGAUUGAACGCUGGCGGCAGGCCUAAGACAUGCAAGUCGAACGGUAACGACACUAGCUUGCUAGUGGUCGACGAGUGGCGGACGGGUGAGUAACGCGUAGGAAUCUACCUAGUAGUGGGGGAUAGCCAAGGGAAACUUUGGGUAAUACCGCAUACGAUCUAAGGAUGAAAGGGGGCCUCUCUUUGAAGCUCUCGCUAUUAGAUGAGCCUGCGUAAGAUUAGCUUGUUGGUGGGGUAAUGGCCCACCAAGGCGACGAUCUUUAGCUGGUCUGAGAGGAUGAUCAGUCACACUGGAACUGAGACACGGUCCAGACUCCUACGGGAGGCAGCAGUCGGGAAUAUUGGACAAUGGGGGAAACCCUGAUCCAGCCAUGCCGCUUGUGUGAAGAAGGCCCUAGGGUUGUAAAGCACUUUUAGUAGUGAGGAAGUGCUCAGUAUGUUAAUA
rnacentral:rRNA from 1 species